rnacentral:lncRNA from 1 species
UCGAUUUCCUCCCAGAUUGAUUUCUUCCAAGAUAAUGGUCACUAUGAGAAACAACUCACGUUCAGGGGGAAGUUCACCAGGAUCAGUCAAACGGGAUGAUCAACCUGAUAAGAAUAAAAAAGUUGUCGCCAAAUCAAAGAAAAACACUAGGCCAACCAAAGAUCAAGGAAGAGAUCAUGGAAGAGAUCAGGAACAGAUACCAUAGAUACCUGUGACUGUAAAGAAUCAGAAUCCAUUGUAGAUAGUAGCCCAGACCAUUGCCCAAGCAUGGAGUCAGAAACAGGGGGAACAACAACAGCAA